UACGUAGGGUGCGAGCGUUAAUCGGAAUUACUGGGCGUAAAGGCGCGUAGGCGGCCUUUCAGUCGGGCGUGAAAGCCGGGGCUCAACCCCGGAACGGCGCCCGAGACGGGAAGGCUGGAGACCGGGAGAGGAGGGUGGAAUAGCCAGUGUAGAGGUGAAAUUCGUAGAUAUCGCAAGAACACCAGUGGCGAAGGCGGCUUACUGGUCCGGUUCUGACGCUGAGGCGCGAAAGCGUGGGGAGCAAACAGG
rnacentral:rRNA from 1 species